GGGGUCACAGCCACCGUCCCAAGGGGGCACAGCCACCAUCCCAGGGGAUCAUACCCACCAUCCCAGCAGGGUGGGACACAAACCAGGGGUCACAGACACCAUCCCAAGGGUCACAGCCACCAUCCCAGGGGAUCACAGCCACCAAACCAGGGAGUCAUGGGCACCAUCCCAGGGAGUCAUGGACACCAUCCCAGCAGGGUGGGACACAAACUGGGGGGUCACAGACACUGUCCUGCAUGGCCACCAUCCC